rnacentral:lncRNA from 15 species
CUUUUUUUUGUCUGUCAGUACUUCAGAAGGACUUAAGAAUCUACCACACAUGAGAUUAAAUCCUCUGUGAUGUACCAGAGGGAAAAUACCCUCCCGCUGAGUCUUAAAAGUGAUAAAAAGCAAUGUGAAAUCCAUUCCGAAAUACGCUGCCAGAGUGGGGGCACUAAAAACUAGAUCAUACAACCUUAUCUGAGAUGUGUGCAUCUGGAGGGAAAUUGGCACUUUUAAUACUUGUCAACUCUAAUUUCCAGAACUGCUGUAUGUUAUUUUUCAUUCAUGUCUUUUAUAAUCUAAAUCAUGGUUCACUGCGUUAACUUGUUGUCUCCUGUUUGUUAUUUCUAGCAUGGAGUCAUCAGCCAGGUCACUCCUGACUCCUCUAAGCGGCCUCGGAGGCGCUGGUCUCAUCGUAUGGGCUCCCUGGAGGUGAUGGUUAAAUCCAUGCUAGACCUGAGGCAGCUGGAGACCUUUGCCCACAAGAAAAACUCUAACUGCCCCCCUCAUGACAGAGAGAGACAGAGCACAUCUAGCCUCCAUGAGCCGAUGCUGGAGGAGAGAGCCAAGAGGCAUCGGCUCUGGCCACAAGCUGAUUGGCUGUCCUCACACCCAUCCAAGGGCAUCAGGGGGACUGAUGGAGCCGUGUUGUACCCCGAGGAGAACCAGGACGAUACAAGUCUGCAGGGCAGUGAUUACAUGGUGAAGGAGCAGCAUUGCAGGAUGCAAGGGCGAGGGAUCCGCAGUGAGAGCCAGGAAAGCCGCAGCCCGGACAGUGCUUGCUCUCUGGGUUACAACAGCAGGGAGUCCAGCCCAGAUCGUGUCCCUGAUGAUUGUGCAGAUGUGGAGUCCCUGGGUCAGGACAGCUCUGAUGAGGAGAAUGAAGAGAGGGAGGAAGAGGAGCAAAUGACAAGUAUGGAUGAAGCUCUGAGGACAGUGACUGGCAUUGCUGACCGCGGCCAAGAAGAUUUCCUCAAGCAGAACUUUGAGAUGCUGGCAGAGAGCUGCAGCACGGCCGAGCAGAGCAGAGUCCCUAGGCUCAGUAUGUCUUCACGCUUCCUGGCCAGAGGACAUAAUAACAGGAGCAUGCCUCCAUUUGCCAAAGUGCAUGGAAAGGAACCAGGUAGCCACUUUGCUAAGCCCCCCGUGUCAAAAGUACGACCCUUGAUUGAAGAUAACACACAAGACAAGACCCCCGUGUCCCCUGGCAGGAGCAAGGGGCCAAACAGGGAAGACGCUCCAGGGAGUGACCGUGGUCCUAGCCUUAGUCCCCUGAAGAAGAAGACUUCAGGGUCUCACCUGUGGAGGCUGUCAAACCCUCCAUAUAACGCUCCAUUACUGUCGGACAGAGCAACAUGUUUACAGAAAUCACACUCCACCCAGAACCUGGCCUCAGACUCUCCUCACUCACAUGUGCCCUCUAGUGACCAAAGGGAGUCGUGCAAAAGACCUCAGCAGCUCUUUCUGGAUCAUGACACUCCCAAGCCUUCCUUUCACUUUUCUUCACCCUCCUCUGGCUCCCCACAGUCACCCCAGUCGCCCCUCCCCUGGGAUAGCCCCAAACUCAAGCCCCAGCUCACCUACAUGAACCCCACUGCCAGCUCCAUGGCCAAAAUCAGCCGCUCCUCCUCACUGGGAGAGGGCAUCCAGAUGAGCACUCCACCGUGCUCCCCCUCCCUCCCCAAGAACAGGAGCUCAUGCGGAGAGCUGGAGGUUGACCCUCCCAUGCUCACCUCGUCUCUUGUCACGGCUUUCCCCUCUGCUGUCUCAUCAGCAUCAUCCCUCUUAUCAUGUCCUCCAUCACACAGUCCCUCCCCAGCUCCUCCCAAUCCUACAGCUACAGUUUCACCCACUCCUUUUUCCCAGAACAUCCCGCCCUCUCGCAUCCCGCUCCCCAGACAGCCUCUUGGCCCUCGUCGCAGCAUCUGCCUGGAGGUGAUGCCAAGCUCAAGUUGUUCUGGAAGCCCGGUGAGGGCUUUAACUCCUACUAUAGACCCUGGAUGUGAGGUUACACUUGCUGCAGGAAGUCAAGCACUGGUCAGGCAUUCAAGUUUGGAUUCUUCCCUGCCAAGUUCACUACCAGUGAAGCAGAAGAGAGACUUGGUUUCAGAGAGUAUCACGGAGCCAGGACAGGUGGCUGUAGCCAAAGAGUGCCCUCUGGUGCCUGAACAGACCCACACAUCGAGUGCUGACUUCCAACCAGCAGAUCACUCUAUCACCUUGGAAACUUGUAGGCAGGCUGUUAGUGAGCUUCACAACAGUCUGAGGAAAACUGUCAUGCUCUACACUACGGUGCUGCAAUCUGGCCAACAUCACAGUGAAGAUCAACAAGAAAUGAGGAGCAUCCUGUCCAAGACCCUGUUGACUGUCAAAGCUGAGCUGGACUCUCUGCCUCACCCCACCUCGCAGUGUGAAGGGCCCCAGGUGCACCAGGAGGUCAAAGGUGAAGGAGAUAAGGCCCUGGCUCUGCUGGAGCAGUACGCUGAGCUGCUGCUGAAGUCUGUGGAGAGGAGACUAGAUACCAAGACUUGA